CAGAUAACUGGUGAAGUUAUUGUUUUGUUUUUUAUGUUGGUGGGGGAAAUUUAAAAAUAAUUUGUUCCUAUAAAUUGGGUUUGAAAAUACAGUGAGAGAGGGGAUGGUGCUCUUCUACACAACAAAUAAUUUACCAACGACAAAGCCAUCUAUACAAACAUUAAAAUAAAUAUUGGUAGGUACUUGAAGUGAUGUAGAAUUGCAAAAUCAGUGAAAAUAUACCAAGUUAGUGCUAUCUAUAAUAUAAUACCUAUGUAUAAUUUAAUGUUAUCAAUACGUAAAGAUAGAAAUUAACUACCUAGGGAAUGUACUUAAUAAUUAGAUUAAAUUCCACUGUGAUUACUCAGCUUUUAUAAAUUAGAACUUAAAACGAUAUCUUUGACCCUAAUAUAAAAUAUCAAGAAGGUCAACUCUCCCCUCCCAUUUUACUUCCAGAUUAAGCCUAUAUAUAUUUAAUAUACACAAAUAUUAAGAUUUCUCUAGAAUAGGUUGGUUAUACUAUAAUAUACUACUAUAUAAUAUAAAAUAAACAAAAUAUGCGUCGUUCGAAAUCAUUUUUACAAGAAUUUAAUAUCAAGUAUAUACGGGACGUUUGAAUUAAUUUUUGUUUUUGUGUAGGUGGCUUAUUUUAUUAUUAUACACUUACCCUAAUAUAACAUCAUAACUUCUAUUUCUUUCCCCUACUCAUCAAAUACACUUAAAAACAAUCCAGCCAAUCCAGUAUUCGACGACAAACCUGCAACGGUGACAGGGACAAUACUAGACCACAACUGUCUUCUGGAGGAAUGAACGUGAAAUAGUUGGCGAGCGAAUAGAUGCCCAGGAAAGCAACGCCGCCGGGUAUGGCCCUGAAAAACAAAAACGAAUUUUUAUUUCUGGCGCUAUUGAAAUCAGAGUGGCGUUUACCGGAAGUCUAGUUCGGCGUCCCUUGACUUGCCACUCUCGGUUUGCUUGAUGCUUCCUCGUAAUGAC